AGCUCAGCUGACUGCAGAUCUACUAUUGUGGGUGCGGAGUGUCCAGGGAAGGAGGAGGACUGGUUGACUGCCUGCAACAACAAUGGAGUUCACUGGAAGAAGUGACAGUCUCGGAUUAUACAUCCUUCUUGGUAUACAUUUGACUCAGUUUUCCCAAGUUAUGUCACUGUAAAUAUUGUUUUCGCGUG